GCAGUGCUGCGCGAGCCUUAGCCGCGCAGGCUCAGUGAAGGGAGGAUGGCGGAUCUGCUACCUUUUGCGGUUCCCACCAAGAGUGACAAAACCUUGCUAGUGUGGGAGCUGAGCUCUGGACCCACGGCCGACGCUUUGCAUGCUGUUUCUCUUGGAGGUGGUGCAGGAGGUUGAGGAAAGCACCUCUGAUGAGCAGAUAGCUGGAGGCUGUUCCCACAGUCAUGUCUCAGCGAAGAAGUCGGAGUCCAGCAGCCAUCAGAACCAAGGGAUUCAACUUGGUGUCAUCUUCAAAGAGAGAAGACAGAAGGAGCGAGAUUAGUGGAAUCAUUACAGCCUUUGUCACUCUGAGUCCAGAUGGGAUGAAAGUUCAGCCCAAACUUUCAUUUUAGAGAGAGAGGGUCUUGCUCCGUCACACAGGCUGGAGUGCAGUGGUACAAUCACAGUUCACUACAGCCCCGACCUCCUGAACUCAAGUGAUCCUCCCACCUCAGCCUCCCGAGUAGCUGCGUCUGGCUAAUUAAAAAAGAUUUUUUUGAGAUGAGGUCUCACUGUGUUGCCCAGGCUGGUCUCCAACUCGUGGGCUCAAGCAAUCUUCUUACCUCAGCCUCUCAGAGCACUGGGAUUACAGGCGAGAGCCACCUCACCUGGCCUAACAAGGACCUCCAAGGAAGAGGAAGCAGGGGUAAAGAGAGGCAAGAAAUGCCACUGAAGACCGGGCAUGGUGGCUCAUGCCUGUAAUUCCAACACUGGAUAUGGUGGCUCACGCCUGAAAUCCCAGCACCAGGCGUGGUGGCUCACACCUGUAAUCCCAGCACUUUGGGAGGCCGAGGUGGGUGGAUCACUUGAGGUCAGGAGUUCAAAACCAGCCUGGCCGACAGAGUGAAACCCUAUUUCUAUCAAAAAUACAAAAAUUAGCCGGGCAUGGUGGCGGGUGCCUGUAAUCCCAGCUACUUGGGAGGCUGAGGCAGGAGAAUCACUUGAACCUGGGAGAUAGAGAUUGCAGUGAGCCGAGAUCACACCACUGCACUCUAGCCUGGGCAACAGAGUGAGACUGUCUCAAAAAAAAAAAAAAAAAAAAAAAAGAAGAAGAAGAAAAAGAAGAAAUGCCACUGAGGCAGGGAGAAGGCCAUGGCUUCAGCAGGAAGCUGGGGGCACCACAAGAUGGGAGAGGAAAUGAAGACCUUCAUAAAACAACAAGAAGGAAGAUGCUGUCCUCCUUCCCGCAGUCUCAGCUGUCCCAGCCCCAUCCCGAGGAGCAUCCACCGCGGAUCCUGUGGGCUCCACAACAGCAGGUGGCUGCCUUCAGCAUGGGUGAGUGGGGUGCAGAGGGCCAGGGUCCCAUGGUUUAUGGAGGCCACCUGCUAAAUCCCUCCAUUGCCUCCUGCCUGUGGACCGCAGCAUCACCUCCUCUAAGGAGAAUACAAUGACAAACUGAGGCCCAUCUAGUUCCUGGAUCACCUUUUCUGGGGGCUCAGUCUAGGCGUUCUCAGAGGUACAGCUUUCCCGGGUUUCAGUUAUGUGGGAAUAACAAUAGCUGUCCUAGAUCAAGCCCUAACCCCCACCCCAAACCCAGAAUGGACCCAUCAGUGUCAGAGCUGCGGCUGAUGUGCUCAACUCCACCUAGGUGGUUCUCACCCUUACCCUAUCUCUGGGAGGGAGGUGGCAUCAGGCUCGGGUUACAAAAGAGAAAUGGAGGGCCCUGAAAAGUUAGGUGGCUGCACAAAACAGGAGUCAGUCAUGGGCCUGGGACGUGAAGCCAGUCUGCUUGACUCCAGAGCUCUUUCCGGGAUGGUGGAAUGACCCCUACUCACUCGGCAAUGGGGUGAACUCCACGGCCGACAUGCUGGUGACCUUGCUGGGGUCCAGCUCUAUGCGGUGGUAUUCAAAGAUGCUCCUUCGCCGAGAUUCUGAAACAGAGGCAGAGCCUGUUGUCAGGAGCAUAUCACAGGCAGAGGGCAUCGAGGCCUCUUCCCGGACAGUCUGACAGGUCAGCCUGCUGCACUGAAGGCAGUAAGUGCACCCAGCAGCCUGGGACAAUGAUGUUGGCGCUGCUGGAGACAGGGACAGGUGCGGACCUGGAGAGGAGAGUGUUGUGGUGUGAGGCUAAGUGACUCAACGCAGAGUCCUGGCUGCUCUUGGGGGCAGGACAAAUGGGAUCCCAUGCUUGCUUCUCCUUGCCUCUGUGCCUUCACAACUGCUAUUCCCCUGACCCAAGAUGUUCUUCCACCCCUUCUUCCUGUCUAGCUCAUCCUUGCAGAUCUAGCUCAAGGGCCACUUCCCCUGAGCAGCCCUCCUUGGCCAGCUCCCUCCUCUGCCUGGCUCAGGCCAGGUGCCCCCCUCCCACUGCACUCACCACACUAUGUGGACAUGAGGGUCUAUUUGGAGGCUGGGGAUGUGUGAGACCAUGAUCAUCUGGUCCUGAACCUCGCUGAGUGCUCUGUGAAUGUCUGCAGAUGGACAGGCUGACUUUUGCAUGUUGCUGUCCACCAUCCACCUCACCCCUCCUGGACAAAUCCCCCAGCAAGGCUCAGGGCUUGCAGCCAGGCUCAAGUCCUACUUUGGUCCCUGCAGAAACUUCUCACAGGACCUCAGAGUCAGGAGAUCCAAGUUCGUUCUAGUUCUGCUCACGACUUGCUGGAUAACCUCAGGCAAGUCAUUUGGACCUCAGUUUCUUGUCUGUGGAGUGGAAAGACAGAAACACCUACCACAACACCCUUGGGAGGAAAAAGCUGGAACUGUAGAUGAAAGCCUUCUUUUUUAAAAUGACAAUCUGAGGUGCUCUGAUACUUCUCUCUAGGCCACGAUACCCACCCAGGAACCAUGACUUGGGGUUGGUUUUCUUCAAUUUUGAAAGGCAGGCAGCCCAGCCAGGCAUGGUGGCUCAUGCCUGUAAUCCCAGCACUUUGGGAGGCCGAGGCAGGUGGAUCACUUGAGGUCAGGAGUUCGAGACCAGCCUGGCCAACAGGGUUUUUAGUAGAAACCCUGUCUCUACUAAAAAUACAAAAAUUAGCUGGGUGUGGUGGUACACGCCUGUAAUCCCAGCUACUUGAGAGGCUGAGGCAGGAGAAUCGCUUGAACCUGGGAGGCAGAGGUUGCAGUCAGCUGAGAUUGUGCCACUGCACUCCAGCCUGGGUGACAAGAGCAAGACUGAAAAAAAAAAAAAAAGAGAGAGAGAAAAAGAAAGAAAGAAAGAAAGAGAAAAAGAAUAGAAAGAAAAGAAAGAACAGAAAGAAAGAAAAGAAAGAAAAAAGAAUAAGAAGCAGACAGCCAGGAAUUGAGCUUUGAGAAUGAGUUACCCCACAAGAGGAAAGAACCACUCAGUGUUUGGUCCGCCCAACACCCUUUCGUCUUCUGGAAACAGCAGCAUUCCCCUUGGGGUACUGUGCCUGGCCCAUUCCUACAGGUGGACUGAACCACAGCUGCCGUCUUCUUCCAUGAUCCUGCCUCUCUGGCCACGCUGUGAUUGUUCCAGGCCUGGGUAUCGGCUGUGAGCUGGACCAAUCAGAGACCUCCCCUGGGACUUUUCAACUGUAACCAAGAGGCCUUUUGCUGUCUGGUAAUGAAGCUGAGAAGAUGCAGGCUCAGAGCCUGUGAAUGGCCACAGUACCGGGCUCAUGGGGAAAGGCAGAGAAUGAAACCACCUCAUGGAGAGAAACAGGAAGUGCUGGACGGCAUAUUUCUUGUCAGCAAGUCUGAUGGGUCCCCCAGUUCCCCGCUGCUGUGGAGAGAGAGGAGGCCCACAGAGGCGGCCUGACCGCGGUACUGUGCUGGCACUCCAGACGCCCUGUUCCCACCCGUCAUCCUGCAGGCCUCUCCUCUCUUCUGCUGCCCCCACAGUCCAGGCUGCCUGCUUCUCCUGCUGUGGAUGCCACUGCCCCCACCCUAGCUUCCCCUUGUUUCUUCCUGAUUACUGUUUCUUGCUUUUACCACCACUGGAGAAUGAGGUCAUGGGAGCAGUGGGGGACGGCAGUGCUCAGGUGGUGAAUGGACUGGGGACCCUGGAGACUGAGGUGAAUUUCCCACGCCCCCUCUGAGGGCUGCUCAGAGAGUACUUAUCUUGGAAUCCAUCUCCCCGCAACACACACCCACUGACUCCCAUGGGGAGAGGCGGUGGAGAGGACUUUAGCCUUGGUCUUCCUUUCCUACCAGGAGGAUGACAGCUCUAGCCCUGCAGCUCCUUCCUUCGCCCGACUCCUGCACUGGAGCCGGAUGGUUUAGAAUGAGAUCCAGGCCUCCUCCCACGUCUCCCUCCCUUCCUUCCAUCCCAGGCAGAUCAGGGAACUUGCUCCUCCUCAGGAAAGCAGCUGGACAGAGUGGGUGGGAUGAGGAGUCCAGGUGGUCCCCAAGGCGAGCACUGCGCAGGUGUGGGCUUUAUGAGAGAGGAGAUGAGCUACAGCUGCAGAGACUCAGACAUAUCAGGUUGAGAGAGCAAGGGAGUUAAGAAGUCAAGUUGGCUGUACACCUGUAAUCUCAGCAUUUUGGGAGGCCGAGGCAGGUGGAUCACUUGAGGUCAGGAGUUUGCAACCAGUCUGGCCAACAUGGUGAAACCCCGUCUCUACUAAAAAUUUAAAAAAUUAGCCAGGCGUGGUGGUGAGCACCUGUAAUCCCAGCUACUUGGGAGGCUAAGGCGGGAGAAUUGCUUGAACCCGGGAGGUGGAGGCUGCAGUGAGCUGAGAUUGCACCACUGCACUCCAGCCUGGGCAACAGAGUGAGACUCUAUCUCAAAAAAAAAAAAAAAAUCAAGUUGUCUUGCCAUUCAUUCAUAAGUGGGGAAACUGAGGUUCAGACAGAUUAACCCAUAGACGGAUACAACUUUGUAUAGCACUUUACUUUUUCAUUUAUUUAUUUAUUUAGAGACAGGGUCUCGCUCUGUCACCCAGGCUGGAGUGUAAUGGCGCAAUCACAGUUCACUGCAGCCUUGACCUCCCAGGCUCAGUAAUCCUGCCUCAGCCUCCCAAGUAGCUGGUAUUACAGGCACACCCCAUCAUGCCUGGCUAAUUUUUGUAUUUUUAGUAGAGAUGGGUCUCCCUGUACUACCCAGGCUGGUCUCCAACUCCCGGGCUCAAGCAAUCUGCCUGCCUCGGCCUCCCAAAGUGCUGAGGUUCUAGACAUGAGCCACCACACAGGCCACAUCUCUUUACAAUUUACCAAGCCUAGCCAUUAAGUAGACGGAAAACAUCUACUUAAACGAGAAAACUACAAGAGCACAGCGCCACCAUGCAGCACAUUUGUUGACUCCUUCAGCAUGUUGGUGCAGACACCUGCUCUGUGCAGGGGCUGUGCUGAGUGCAGAGCACUCCGUGAGCUCGCAGCCUUGCAGGUUCCCUGGAGCUGCACCAUCUCAUUUCCCCUUACAACUUCCUGAGGUGCACAGACAGACAUCGCUGCUCUCCCCACUUUACAAAGGAGAAAAGUGAGAUCGGAGAGGGGACGUUAUUUGCCCAAAGCCACACAGUCUUUGUUUUAAAAUCAGAGGCUAGACUUUUAAAAAACCUCAGGGCUGGAAGCCACUGUGGCUCCAGAAAGUCACCAAAGUUGUGAGUGCAGAUAAAUAUUUAACAACUGCCUGGGGGCUGGGGUGCAGGUAGGGGCAGAGGAGUCCUGAAUUGCUGUUGUUGCCAAUUUCUGUGGUGUAAAUACUUCCACGGUAGCUGACUUCCAGCUACCCUUUCAAAAAAGUUACUGAACAUGGAGUUAGGAAGAGACAUGUUCAGUUGCCUCUAACCCAGCUGCAUACAUGAUCUCCAGCACACCCCUGCUGAGAGCUUCCUGAUUUGUGUUUCUAAAAGAGUCAAAGGGAAACAUUUACAUUUCUUUCUUUUUUGUUUUGUUUUGUUUUGUUCGAGACAGGGUCUCACUCUGUUGCCAGGCUGGAGUGCCGUGGUGCAAUCACGGCUCACUGCAGCCUUGGCUUCGUGGGCUCAAGUGAUUCUCCCACUUCAGUCCCUGCCCCCAGCUCCACCUCCCCCACCAAAGGCUCAUGCCCUGGUAAUUUUUUUUUAUUCUUUGGUAGAGACAGGGUCUCCCUAUGUUGCCCAGGCUGGUCCCAAACUCCUGGCCUCAAGCAAUCCUCCCGCCUCCAAUUCCCAAAGUGCUGGGGUUACAGGCGCGAGCCACUGCGUCAGGCCACAUCUCUUUACAAUUUACCGAGCCCAGUUGUUUAUUUAAAAAUAAAAAAAUUUAUUUAAAAAUUACGGGCACAGUGGCUCAUGCCUGUAAUCCCAGCACUUUGGGAGGUCAAAGUGGGCGGGUCACCUGAGGUCAGGAGUUUGAGACCAGCCUGGCCAACAUGGUGAAACCUCAUCUCUAUAAAAAUACAAAAAUUAGCCAGGCAUGGUGGCACGCGCCUGUAAUCCCAGCUACCCGGGUGGCUGAGGUAGGGGAAUCGCUGGAACCCGGGAGGCAGAGGCUGCAGUGAGCCGAAAUUGCACUAUUGCACUCCAGCCUGGGCGACAGAGAAAGACUCCGUCUUAAAAAAUAUAUAUAUAUAUACACACACACACACACAUAUAAUUAAGCCAAAAUCCAAAAGAUGGAAUGACUGUGUGUUUGUCUCCUAAAGAACCCUAAGUCUGAGACAGGAGACCCCGUGGCAAGCCUCGUGAAUAUCAGGCAGUAACUGCCAGGUGUCUACAGAGUCACUGUGGCUCUAAGAGGAGGGAACCCUCCAUGGAAAGCUGAGGUGGCGAGGGGUCCACAGAGCCCCGCACACGCAUGUGCACACCCCAGCCCUCCAAGACACACACACACCUGCACAUGAGCACAUACUCAUAUGCACACACAUAUGCGACCCUUUGACACAAGAAAGACCCUUUGCCAAGCCCGAGUGGGAUCUGACAGAGAUUGGAGGAUGGGCACCUUUUUGUAAUUCACAUGCCCAGAGGUGGCACCAAGGCCACCUGUGCUGCAGGUGCCCCUGAGUGAUGCCAAUGGCUAUGAGAAGGUGGCCUGGGCUCUGAGUAAGCCUGGGGGCCUGGGAAUAUCUAGAUGAGGAUGGAAAGUUUGAAGCAGACUUUCACACACCAUCCCCACUCAUUACUCCCAGGGGCCAUCUCUCCUUCCCCUUCAGCACCAAAAUGCAAUGGGAUCAAAAAUAAACAUGAAACUCCAAGUCUCCCAUGUCCUGACUUCCAGGGUGCCUGAGGCCAUAGGUUCUAGAGUCCAAUGUCAACCUUUCUUGCUUCAACUGCCUCAUACUUCAAGACUCAGCUCAAAUGACGUCCCCUCCUUGAAGACUUCCCCCACUCUCAGGCAAAGUGACUGCCCCCCGACCCAGCCCCACUCUGAGUCUACAACUCCCUGAGCAAUGUCCAGUGUCCCCCAUUACAUCGCUUGGUCAAUAUCUGCUCUCCUGGCCACUCCCGCAGCCAGACCACAAGCUCCGCUAAGACAGAGUCUGCAUGGAAUUUAUCUCUGUACCUCAUCCCCUAGCACCAGGCCUUGCACUUAACAGGACCUUAAGAAAUGACUGUGAGUGAAUGAAUGGGUUACAAAUAGUCAUGAAAACCUCAGCAACUUAUAACGUCAGCCCACAGCCCAAAGGAAGCACGCCCUUCCUCCCCAGCCCACCACAAAUUACUGCCAUUCUCAAAAGGACAACCCUGAAAGACCACAGUAAACCAGAUAUGCCCCCUCCUAAGCUAGAGCCCAAAGCGGGAGGAGAGCUGGCUUUCAGGAUUUCUCCACCUGCAAGGCUGCAGGGCAGAGCUUUCCCUCAUCAGAAGGAAGGGGAAAUGGGAGGGACAAAGGGACUCAGGGUGGGGCACGGAUAGAGACUCGGACUUUUCAAGGGAACUGAGUUCGAGGAUAGAGACACAAGUGGCAGCCAGGGAAGGCAAGUCUCCUAGGAACCUCACACCAGGCUCUAGGGAUGGGUUUCCCCACCAUCCAGGCUGGGGGGUAGAGUUGGGGAUGUGCCCCAAGCAUGGGUGCAGCCAGGGACGCCAGCUGUCCUCUGAAAAUACAGUCCUUCCAGCGGAGUCGGGGAGGCUGAGUGGUGGCAGAAAGGGGGAUGAGGGUGGGGGGUGGAACUAUAUCUCUAAUUGAAACUAUUUGCUCACUUCAACUGCCAGCUUGUACUUGUUCGAGUGUGGGUUUGGUGAUAUUUUUAUUUUUUUAAUAAAAGAAUCCUUACGCCCCCCCCCCCACCUGGGUUAUUUGUUUUGGAUUGUUUCACCAACAUCUGGAGCUUGCCCAAGACAAUGACUUCCAUCUCCAUGACCAACAGAUCCUUUCUGGAACCAAGACGCAGGCUGCCCCAGAGCACCAUUUCUGGCAGUUUAAGGCGUUCUGUUUUAUCUCUGCUUCCAGGCAUCAAAGAUUCAGAAAUACUCAGGUCCAGACUUGGCAAACACUGCUGCCCAAACAAGAAAUGUUUUUGUUUUUUGUCUUUUUUUUUGGGGGGGGGGGGGGUUGUGUUUUGUUUUUGUUUUUGUUUUUGAGACAGGGUCUUGCUCUGUCGCCCAGGCUGGAGUGCAGUGGCACAAUAUCAGCUCACUGCAGCCUCCACCUCCCGGGUUCAAGCAAUUCUCCUGCCUCAGCCUCCCGAGGAGCUGGGAUUACAGGUGCCCGCCACCACACCUGGCUGAUUUCUGUAUUUUUAGUAGAGACGGGUUUCACCAUCUUGGCCAGGCUGGUCUCAAACUCCUGGCCUCAAACGAUCCACCCACCUCAGCCUCUCAAAGUGCUGGGAUUACAGGCGUAGCCACCAUGCCUGGCCCCAAACAAGUAAUGUUAAUGGUUCAAGUGAGAGGUUUGCAUGUCCCUUUGUGUUUCAAUGCCAGAUGCCCAUGGGAGAGUGCUGGCUUGGCCAGAAGAAGUUAGGAGAUGACAGGUCGAUCCACAAACUCCCACCUGGAAUGGGUGGUUACCGUAUAAAAAAAUCUAAGAGGUUGGGUUGGGAAAAAGUCUUCAUGCAUUCUUUUGUUCCUUGGCUCAUGUGAUUAUUCAUUCAAUAAUCACGAGUGGAGCCCCAGCAGGGGACCCUGCCCCACGGGGGAGAAGUAGGGGGGUCCCUCAGCAUUGAAGCAAAGCAGAAAAAGGUAGAGAAAGAAGAGGCCAGAAAUGACUCAGGGAGCAGAGUAGUGGGAAAAACAGAAGUGAGAAGGGAAAAGAGGGAAGGAUGGGCCCCCAGAUGGAUUAAAAACUUCCAACGAAGGGCACUUUAAAGGAUCCUUUAUCAGAAAAGGCAAAAUCGGCCAGAUCCUCAGCUUCUCCCUGCACCCACUUCCUCACGUGGCUGCCCCUAGAUCCCUUCUGUAGCCAGCUCUGGGACCCACCCCUCCCUUACCUGCAGCCUGGCAGGAAGGUACACACAGCUCAGGCCCUGACAUAUAUCUGGACUCAAGUCUGCCUCGGAAAGGACAGGAAAGUUCCGGUAAAGGAGGAAGACCAGCAUGUUGGGGCCAUCCGAGGCCAUUCGGGGCCAGCCAAGGGGCAGGCUACAUUCUGGAGCUCUUUGUAAGAAAAUCCUCACUAACUGAUCCCACUAAUUCAGAAUCCCUGUCAGUUUCAGUGUUGGCCAUGCUAAAGUUGCUUUUAUGCUAACCAUGAAAUAAAGAGUUUCUUAAGCAAAUGAACAGAGGAAAUAAUAUUGACUUCUGGCGGUCUCCCCAGCCAUAUAGCGGAUACACUGUCCUGUGUGUUUUGAGUGCCUCUGCAAACAGAUGCUGCUAAUUGCACAUGACUUUUCUUUUCACCAAAGAUGCUUUGCAGACUCUGCUGAAAAGCCUGCGGAAGAGUUUAUACGAGGAAGUACUGGUAAGAACUCUUGUGGUUUUCAGCCUCUUGUACCCUCUCCCCCAGGAGUGAGGCUGUGAAGAGUCCUCCUCAUCGCACCUCCCAUCCCCUUCGCUAGCAGGGGUGGGGAGGAAAGUGUUUAGAACCUGGGGGAGGAGAGUUUUCCCCAGACAGGGUUCAGUGGCUGAGGAUUCCUAAAUAGUGAGGAAUCAAACUCCCCUCCUCACACUGCCCCAGGCAGGGAGCAGUCAAACCUGGGCACAAGGACAGUGACGCCACCCAUUCUGUAUGAUCAGGUGGGCUUGGUCAAUAGGAUUAUCCAUGGUGAUCAUAGGGUCUACAGACCAGAUGGCUCUUCCUGAACUUGUUUCCUUUAAGACAUGAUCA